CCCGCUGAAUUUAAGCAUAUUACUAAGCGGAGGAAAAGAAACUAACCAGGAUUCCCUCAGUAGCGGCGAGCGAAGAGGGAAGGGCCCAGCGCCGAAUCCCUGUCCGACGGGCGGGCAUGGGAAAUGUGGCGUAUAGAAGACCGCUUUGCCCGGUGUCGAUCGGGGGCCUGAGUCCUUCUGAUCGAGGCUCAGCCCGUGGACGGUGUGAGGCCGGUAACGGCCCCCGUCGCGCCGGGGUCCGGUCUUCUCGGAGUCGGGUUGCUUGGGAAUGCAGCCCAAAGUGGGUGGUAAACUCCAUCUAAGGCUAAAUACCGGCACGAGUCCGAUAGUCGACAAGUACCGUAAGGGAAAGUGAAAAGAANNNNNNNNNNNNNNNNNNNNCUUUCAAAGCGACAUUCAUUAAUGUCGUCAUAGAAUGGAUGUUUCGUUGGUCUUCGCGUUCAAUGAUAUAAUUUACUUAGCUGCAGACUAAUAAUUAAUAUCAAAGACUUGUUCUUAUUCUGUCGGUAUCAAUAGUCUAAAAGUUAACCACGUGGUAUAGUUCACUUUCAGUAGAGUACUUGGAUAGUCAAACCUAUUGGCCAACUCGCAAUGGAGUGGAGGCCGGGUCUGAAGGAAGUAGAUCAGGGUAUAGUUUUAUAGUGAACAUGUCACAU
rnacentral:ncRNA from 1 species